rnacentral:lncRNA from 1 species
GUCUGCCAAGUCAGCUGCCAGAUGUCGGAGUUUCAAUGUAUCCAUGCCCAGGGAAAUAAGGCGUUCAGAAUAUGGCAAAUACCUGAUGGAGUAUUCUCUUGGUUGCACGUUGCUGAACGGCUUCCAGUUUCCAGAGGGAGAAUCACUGGUUCAUAGGUAUUUAAAAACGGUGGAACAAAUGCUACAGAGUUUUAUAGUUCAGAGGCACUAAUUUCUUGUUUUUUCUCAUUGGUGCUUACCUCAUCUGUUGAUAUAUAUAUAUUGGUGAUCAAUAUCCGCACACAUUAAUGUAGCAAUCUGGCUGAAUCGUUGAGCAUACUGGCUGAAAUGCCAGAAUAUUCAGUGCUACAUUAUGCAACAUGUCUUGUUGCUUUUUUUAGUAUAGUAAGGUGUGGUUUGGGGGAGAAUUUAGCUGCCAUGUCUAACAGAAUGAGAGACCACAAAUAGGUAUCCUUGUUAACUUGACAGAUGUCUUAUCAUAGAAGUUCUUUCCACCUCACCAAAUAAUCAAAACUUUCAAACGGUGAUGACAAUCUCGUAUUACAAACUAAUCUACCUUCAAUUUCUUAUCUGAUGAUUAAUUUUUUUUUUAAUCAUUAAUAUUAUAUACUACAUGAACCUAUCAUUUAAUUUUUUUUUUUUUCCUCUGUAAAUAUCUCCUUUUGCUUUAAUUAUUCUCCUCCACAAUUUAUUUGGUUCAUUUUCAUUGCUUGCAUUGUAGCAAUAUGUUCGUUCAUUUCUCCUCAUCUAGGACAAUGCUGCUGCUACUAUUACUACUACUACUACUACUGCACACAACCCUUGGUCCAUAGAUGUCUUACCUCCACUCACUGCUUUUCUUCUGCUACUACAGCAAACUUCAUUCUGCAGCAUUGACUGCUCUCAAACUAAUGUCACCCAAACAGCUUUACCUAACUCAUCUCUCCUCUUCUCACCCACACUGUCCAGCCCCCAGAUCCCUCACUAACCAUUAUACCCUUCCUCCUCAGAACUUUGCUCUCCUGGAAUUGUCCCCUUGCAUAUGUUUUUCUGCAGCUGUCAAGAGGAAAAAAUUAUUAACUGCUCAACCUCACUAAUCUGAAAGAGCCUGUGAGGGCUACGGGCACGUUUCCUUUCCUCUAGACUAAUCCAAUGGAAAAAGGUUUCUUUACAUAUUUAUACUAUCUUUAUUUUUGUAAGUAGUAUGUGAUCCUUUUAAUUAUUAACUGUCAAUCAUGAAUUUCUAAUGUUAUUUCCAAUAUUUUUUACUAUCAUUUGGUAUCACUAUUAAUCCAGACAUCUCCCCUUUUCUUUUUUUUAUGAGGUGGUGCUACCAUUCUUACUAACUAAAUUAUCUGAGAAACCUCAUUCUUUUUUUUCUUGUAUUAUACUUCCUGUAUCAGCUUGAUGCAGAAUUAGGGCCAAUAUCUGUUGAUGAAUAUUUCCAAUGGAAUUUAACUUUGUAUUUUAUUAAUUUUAUUCACCUCUGUGUAUUAAUGAUUCUGUUGACUUGGUGUCUCACCAGUUUUAUUGAUCUUGAUGUAUUACUAAUCUUACUGAACUCUGUAUAUUUACCAGUUUUAAAAUUUUCACUAAAAUAUGGAAUGAAGGGCCAAGUCAGUCGUUGCAAGAUUUCAGUUUAUGAAAAAAAAAACAAAGCAUUUAACCAAAUAAUGUAUUAUUUCUACCAACUCUUGAUGCCGAUCAGUUAACCCUUUUGGUACUAAACCUGCAAUGAUGGCCCUCUGAUUCUGUGAUACAAAAUUUAUUUUGAGGGGUUGAUAUUUCAAUUAAAACCUUGCAUCAUAAUUUUAUAUAAAAAUCUUUUAUUAUAUUCAGAAUAGUAGUUUAGAAAUGGAAAAGUUAGUUAUUUUACUAAAUCCUUCCAAAUCCCUUGAUUAUUUUCAAAAUUAACUGAAACACGUGGUCAGUGUAAUCCAUUUUACUUUCCUAUAACUGUUUCCUAAACAUCAGAUAAAGAGAAAGGCCCCAAAACAUUAGACUCUAAAUGCCUCACUACUGCAACUGAAUGUAUUAAACUUUUCCAUUUCAUCAGAAAUAUAGUCAAAAAAGUGUCAUGGAAAGUGUAAAGUUCUUUACAGAUGAUGGUAAAUGCUGGAGGUAACACAAUGAAGGCAUUAAUUGGUCGGUCAGGGAGGUUUCUAUUUUUUUUUUGUGUGUAAAAUAUAUGUUGUUCUGAUGAGAUGCCUUCAGAGAAGAAGAGGUGGGAUUAUGGAACUAGAUUGGGAUAGUUCAGAGCCAUGUUGAAGAUGAUAACUUGGAUUACUAUAGAUUUGCAUUUAAGAAUGCAAGACUUAUCAAACAAGAUAGCUGGGAGAAUUAAAAGCAAAACCUAAGGUAAUGGAUGUGAAGUAUGUAGCAAAGUUAUUUUACUGCAAAAAUGUCUGUGUUCAGCAGAGAUUGAAAGAGAAAUUGCUCAAAGUGGUAACAGAACAGAAUCCACAACCACAGUUACUGUAAGUUGAAAGGUUUUAGUUGUAUCUUUACUUUGCUGCAAAGAUUUUAUAUAAAAGAGUCAUCUUGUGUUGCUAUUUUUUAAUAGUUACAAAAGUAAAUAAAUGAGAUGCAAUAUUUAAAACAACAAAGAAAUAUGCUACUUUGGAAACCUUUCUUAUAUUUUUUCUUUCUUUAAAUUGAAAAAAUAAUUGUGAAAAUAUGUCUAUAUUCUGGCUGAGUGAAGCUUAUUUACAACAAUUUGGAAGUAAAUCAAACAUUUUCUUUCAAACUAUUUUUUUAUAUUUAAAUUAAAUGGCAAAACAAUUUUCAAUUAUCUUUGUUGAUUCAAAAUACAUUUUUUUUAUUCAAAUAAAUUUUAAAAUC